UACAGAGGGUGCGAGCGUUGUUCGGAAUUAUUGGGCGUAAAGAGCUCGUAGGCGGUGUGUCGCGUCGGCCGUGAAAACCUGCAGCUUAACUGUGGGCUUGCGGUCGAUACGGGCAUCACUGGAGUUCGGCAGGGGAGACUGGAAUUCCUGGUGUAGCGGUGAAAUGCGCAGAUAUCAGGAGGAACACCGGUGGCGAAGGCGGGUCUCUGGGCCGAUGACUGACGCUGAGGAGCGAAAGCGUGGGGAGCGAACAGG
rnacentral:rRNA from 1 species